UACGGAGGGGACUAGCGUUGUUCGGAAUUACUGGGCGUAAAGCGCACGUAGGCGGAUUUGUAAGUCAGGGGUGAAAUCCCGGGGCUCAACCUCGGAACUGCCUUUGAUACUGCAAAUCUCGAGUCCGGAAGAGGUGAGUGGAAUUCCUAGUGUAGAGGUGAAAUGCGUAGAUAUCAGGAGGAACACCGGUGGCGAAGGCGGCUCUCUGGACGGUGACUGACGCUGAGGCGCGAAAGCGUGGGGAGCAAACAGG
rnacentral:rRNA from 1 species